UACGGGGGGGGCGAAGCGUUGUUCGGAAUUACUGGGCGUAAAGGCUCGUAGGCGGCCAACUAAGUCAGACGUGAAAUCCCUCGGCUUAACCGGGGAACUGCGUCUGAUACUGGAUGGCUUGAGAUUGGGAGAGGGAUGCGGAAUUCCAGGUGUAGCGGUGGAAAUGCGUAGAUAUCUGGAGGAACACCGGUGGCGAAGGCGGCAUCCUGGACCAACACUGACGCUGAGGAGCGAAAGCCAGGGGAGCAAACGGG
rnacentral:rRNA from 1 species